rnacentral:rRNA from 1 species
GACGAACGCUGGCGGCGUGCUUAACACAUGCAAGUCGAACGGAAAGGCCCUGCUUUUGUGGGGUGCUCGAGUGGCGAACGGGUGAGUAACACGUGAGUAACCUGCCCUUGACUUUGGGAUAACUUCAGGAAACUGGGGCUAAUACCGGAUAGGAGCUCCUGCUGCAUGGUGGGGGUUGGAAAGUUUCGGCGGUUGGGGAUGGACUCGCGGCUUAUCAGCUUGUUGGUGGGGUAGUGGCUUACCAAGGCUUUGACGGGUAGCCGGCCUGAGAGGGUGACCGGCCACAUUGGGACUGAGAUACGGCCCAGACUCCUACGGGAGGCAGCAGGGGGGAAUAUUGCACAAUGGGCGGAAGCCUGAUGCAGCAACGCCGCGUUCGGGAUGACGGCCCUCGGGUUGUAAACCGCUUUCGCCUGGGACGAAGCGUGAGUGACGGUAAUGGGUAAAGAAGCACCGGCUAACUACGGG